rnacentral:lncRNA from 1 species
GAGACAUUCACCCUCACACACUCCCCAAGCACUCUCACCUCACACACACAUACACUCUCACAUACACACUCCCCAUACACCCUCACCCCACAUGCACUCACAGUCCCAUGUGCCCUUAACCCACACGUACUUACACUCAUACACUCACUCUCCAUGCACCCUCACCUCACACGCAAUACACUCACACACACUCCCCAUACACCCUCACCCCACAUGCACUCACACUCCCUAUGCACCCUCAACCCACACAUACACACACUCUCACACUCUCUCCAUGCACCCUCACCCCACACACACAAUACACUCACACACACACUCUUACCCCACAGGCACUCACGCUCCCCAUGCACCCUCAACCCACACAUACAUACACUCUCACACUCUCUCCAUGCACCCUCACCUCACAUGCACAUACACUGUCACACUCUCUCCAUGAACCCUUACCUCACAGGCACACUCUCACACACUCCCCAUACACCCUCACCCCACAUGCCCUCACACUUCCCAUGCACCCUCAACCCACACAUACAUAAACUCUCACACUCACUCCAUGCACACUCACACACACUCCCCAUAUAC